rnacentral:rRNA from 1 species
CGAUCUCAGUUCGGACUGCAGGCUGCAACUCGCCUGCACGAAGUUGGAAUCGCUAGUAAUCGCGAAUCAGAAUGUCGCGGUGAAUACGUUCCCGGGUCUUGUACACACCGCCCGUCACACCACGAGAGUUUACAACACCCGAAGUCAGUGGCCUAACCGCAAGGAGGGAGCUGCCUAAGGUGGGGUAGAUGAUUGGGGUGAAGUCGUAACAAGGUACC